AGUAGGUUCACUGUAGGAGUAGGGUAUGCACCUACAUGGAAUCUAUCGACCUUGAUAGAUGAGGAGUGAUCCUAUGUGAUUUAUAAGACUGAGUUUUAAGACCUUGGCCAGGACAGUAUAUACAGUGGAGAAAAAGUUUUCCACUCUCGAACUCAAGUUGAAUAAAUCUAGACAUAUGACAGACGACGGGGUUUGACGAGUUAUCCAUGACCUCCGUUCUGUAGGGAUCUACGAUAGAAGGACUGUAUCAUACGAUAACUGCAUCUAGAGGUUCAUCAUUCCAUUCUACUGGGUUGCCACUACAUGCUGCUAGGUGUCACUGGUGGAUGGUGACUCAUAGGGACCAUCUUGAUGGUCGAUGAUUCCUGGUGAGUUGAGUUGGAA
rnacentral:lncRNA from 1 species